UCAUUUAUGAAUUCAACUACUUUUUUAACACGUUCUAAUCGGCCACGCAGAACAAAUGUUUGCAAUGUUUGUCGCGGACCCGCGAAUGUAAACAGUAACGAACGGCAUUGUAGAAAAGAGAGAGCGUAAUGCAGAAGAUAAGUUGUGCAUUUUUCGGUUUACACAUGCAUUUUCAAGUUACUGUGAAACAGAUGAACAUGCACAGGGAACAAUACUACAUAUUUGUAUAAGGAGGGAUAUAUUCUCGUGUGAAUCGUUUACGAGGAAAUUCUGACAGCCACACUUCUGUCGACCAUGUCGACGGAUGUUUAUGUUUCCAUUGAUCAGCCGUUGAUAAGCUACGAGUAAUAAAGGGGAAAAGAUGGACAUUAAAGUGUGUGAUCUAUGUGGAUGUUACUGAAGAAGCUCAAAACGAACUCUUGUUCCGACAUGGCACCACAUUGCUUUUACCUGUUGAUUCUUGUGGGUCAACUCUUGAGAUUAACCUGUCACCUCUAUCCACAUGCAUAUUCCUUGUGUUCUACAGACUUUUUACCGGUAAUUCAAAUUAAAUCGGAUAAUGCAUGAACAAUAAUGGAACUUUAUGAAAGCAUCAUCCCAUGUUGUGGUUUGUGUUUGAUAAGAAAUUAUGAAAAACAAAAUUAAGGCUAUUUAAAGAAAUUCAUAAUUGUUGUGAAAAUUUGUUUUUCAAUAAAAGUAUGCAAUUA